AGUCUGGUGCCAGCACCCGCGGUAAUUCCAGCUCUAUAAGCGUAUCGUAAUACUGUUGUCUUUAAAACGUUCGUAGCUUGUUGAAGGGAUUUGAUGAUUGGUUCGUGGAGCUGUUGCGUGCUCUGCUUGUAUUGUUCACGAAAUGAUGCUCGCAUCGCGUCUUUCUUUUGAAGGUAUGGCUUACGCGGUCAUAAUCAGCUUCCACUAUGGCUCAACCCGGAUAUUUUACAUCUCGGUCGUUUCAGUUUCUGUUUCGGCCUUGAUACGUUCGGGAAGAGUGGAUCUUUCAUUUUUUCCUGCUUUGAUGUCGUGAGCAAAUCGGAUUGCUUAAGGAAAGCAGGUUUGAAGUACCAUUAGGUGCUUCUUCCUAUGUUUGAACGUCAUAGCAUGAUACAUCAAUGCAGCAAUUUCGUUUUUGACGUCUUCGGACGUUCAAAUUUCGAAUUUGCGUGUGUAAAGGAACAUAUUCAAGUGUGGAGUAUUUGCCGGAUAGGGGUAAAAUCCAGUGACCCGGCAAAGACUACCAAAGGCGAAAGCACCAUACCAGGAUUUGUUCGUCAGUGAUGAACGAAAGUCAAGGGAACAAAGAUGAUUAGAUACCGUCGUAGUCUUGACUAUAAACGAUGCCAGCAGAACACAUUUGUUUGAAAUUAUCCGUUUUUCGGAUCAAACAAGGGUUCAACAGAAAUGAAAAGCCUUUCGGUUAGAGGGGUAGUAUGAUCGCAAGGUUGAAACUUAAAGGAAUUGACGGAAAAGCACCACCAGGUGUGGAAUCUGCGGCUUAAUUCGACCCAACACGGGAAAGCGUACCGAGAUAGAACGCGAGAAUGAUUGACAGACUACAGCUCUUUCUUGAUUUCGUGGAAAGUGGUGCAUGGCCAUUCUUAGUUCGUGAAGUGAUUUGUCUUGUUUAUUCAGAUAACGAGCGAGACCCUUUCCGAAUGUAUGAAUCGUGUUUUCCUCGGAAAACGCGUUGCUGAUCAAUGAUUAGCCUUUCCUUUCGGUAUUCUCCAGCGAAACAAAGCUGUUGAAAGAAAUUGGGACAAUAAUAGGUCUGUGAUGCCCUUAGAUACCUCGGGAUGCACGCGUAUUACAAUGACUGAUUCAACGGGUGUUAUUCGAGCGUGUUUUCACGAUUCGAAUCCUGUUUCGAAAGAAAUGGGCAAUCCUUCAAAAUCAGCCGAAGUUAGGCUUGCCGUUUGUAAGAAUGGCAUUAAUUAGGAAUACCUUAUAAUGAUGACUCACUAUAUUGUCGUGAAUACGUCCCUGCUUUUUGUACACACCGCCCGUCGCAUCAAGGAACGCAGUUGAAGCAAUGAAGCUGGUGGAUUCGACAUUCGAGUCGGAAAAGCCUGUUAAAUCGCUUUCACUCGACCAUGAUGAAGUCGUAACAAGGUAUUCGUAGGUGAACCUGCGGAUG
rnacentral:rRNA from 1 species